UACAGAGGUGGCAAGCGUUGUUCGGAAUUACUGGGCGUAAAGGGCGCGUAGGCGGUUCGUUAAGUCCUGUGUGAAAUCCCCCGGCUCAACUGGGGAACUGCACAGGAAACUAGCGGGCUUGAGUUCGGGAGAGGGAAGCGGAAUUCCGGGUGUAGCGGUGAAAUGCGUAGAUAUCAAGAGGAACACCUGAGGUGAAGACGGGUUGCUGGGCCGACACUGACGCUGAGGCGCGAAAGCCAGGGGAGCAAACGGG
rnacentral:rRNA from 1 species